AGGGUGGCUUUAAAAUAUUUUAGUGGGGCUGGAGCCCCCCUAAAAUAGACCUAGUGACGCCACUGAACAUGUCAGGCUCAGAGUGGAUGACUCAUCUGGAAAACUGUUUGCUUAGCUGUGGCGGCCAUCUUUAAUGGAGAAGAUUCUAGAUUUAAACAUGUUGUAGACCUGCAUCCAAUAACUACAGUGUUUCCUGAGUCUGGCCAGUGGUUCACCUGAAUUUCCUUUUGACGAGACAAUAAAUUCUAUUCUAUUCUAUUCUAUUCUAUUCUAUUCUAUUCUAUUCAUGAGACAUUUAUCUGCCUGUAGGAAGCAGCCUUCUAAAACAUUCACAUGAGAAGCUCCACACUGAAUGAGUCGCGCAUGCGCAGUGUCAUCUUACAGCCCCGGAGGCUCCGCCCCUUUCAGUCAGAUGUUAGCUUCUGCAGCUAGCUGUAGCUAACAGUAAACAGACAUGACUGCAGAGGAAACAUGGAUGAAUUUGAGUUUUUCACAACCGGAAACGGUAGAAAUGGUCUGAAGCUGAGACAAACAGGACAGAUGGAAGAUAAAACGACCGUCCGAUAUGAGUUCUGACCCAGAUAACAGGCUGUUUUACACCGGAGGAGGCCGUCAUGUCUCCGGAAGAAAAGAGUUCGGUUCUGAACGAGUGUCACGUUAAAGCAGAAACGGGUCAGGAGCACCACGGACCGGGUGACGGCUCGGUUCUACCGGCACCGCAUCUCACGAUGUGUCCCGAUGGGUAAAAAUGGACCUGAGAAGUGAAUCAAACAGUUUAUUACAAAGUCAGGUGUAUAAAAUAACGCGCUCACCUGUGUUUCAGACAGGACAGCUCCAUCCGGUGAAGGUAAUAAUUCAUAACAACAUGUAAUAAAACAUGUCUCAGGGUGGUCUUUCAUGKCUUCUGUACAUUAUUAUUACACAAUAAAACAUAUUUAAAGAACAACUCAAAUAUUUGUCGGUUGAUUUAAUUUCAAUAAAUGAAUAAAUAAAUUGCAGCCAAAUAACUUUAACUAUUCAGCGUGCGCAUGCGCAUUGAGCAAGCUACGUUUGUUAGAUACUGCGCAUGCGCGACUCAUUUUGUGAGCGACAAACCUGCAGCUUAGCGCCAUUAAAUGAGACUUCCGCCGAAGAGCUUUCCUACAAAAAUAAAAGCACAAAACUGAACUAAAUUGAGUUUUAUUCUUUUUGUGACUUAAAAUAAACUGUUUUACCUUUUUUAAAGCUACUGGUUUGAUUCCACUGAAUACUUUGUUUGAAUCUCUAACAGCUCUGUGUAGAAACUUUAUCAUCUAACAGAUAAAUGUGUUGUUGUCAUUAUAGUUACACAAUGAACAUGUACAACAAAAAUUUUGAGGAAAAAAUUUAAAUGGUAGAUUCAUAUAUGUUGUAUAUUUUUGUAAGAAAAAUGAUUAUCUGUUCAUAAAUCUAUUUUCAUGACAUUUUUAGAUUAAUGUUAAUAAAAAACAAUUUCAUAA